rnacentral:rRNA from 1 species
UAUUGUACAAUGGGUGGAACCCUGAUCCAGCGACGCCGCGUGAGUGAAGAAGUAUUUCGGGAUGUAAAUCUCUAUCAGCAGGGAAGAAAGAAGUGACGGUACCUGACUAAGAAGCCCCGGCUAACUACGUGCCAGCAGCCGCGGUAAUACGUAGGGGGCAAGCGUUAUCCGGAUUUACUGGGUGUAAAGGGAGCGUAGACGGCGAUGCAAGUCUGAAGUGAAAGGCGGGGGCCCAACCCCCGGACUGCGUUGGAAACUGUAUGGCUGGAGUGCAGGAGAGGUAAGUGGAAUUCCUAGUGUAGCGGUGAAAUGCGUAGAUAUUAGGAGGAACACCAGUGGCGAAGGCGGCUUACUGGACUGUAACUAACGUUGAGGCUCGAAAGCGUGGGGAGCA